CGUUCUAUGGCCGAAUCGGUAAAGGCAUGGUGAGGUUGCGGGUUCGAAUCCCGCUGGAACGA
rnacentral:tRNA from 1 species